rnacentral:misc_RNA from 1 species
GAUGAAGAACGCAGCGAAAUGCGAAAAGUAAUGUGAAUUGCAGAAUUCAGUGAACCAUCGAAUCUUUGAACGCACAUUGCGCCCGCUGGAACUCCGGCGGGCAUGCCUGUCCGAGCGUCAUUUCAACCCUCAGGCCCCCCUUCGCGGGCGGGCCUGGUGUUGGGGCCCGGCCGCUACCCUGCGGCCGUCCCCUAAAUCCAGUGGCGGCCUCGCCGUGAUCCCUUGCGUAGUAAUGCACCUCGCACCGGAGAGCGCCGUGGCCACGCCGUAAAACCCCCAAUUUUCAAUGGUUGACCUCGGAUCAGGUGGGAAUACCCGCUGAACUUAAGCAUAUCAAUAAGCGGAGGA